GAUGAAGAACGCAGCGAAAUGCGAUACGUAAUGUGAAUUGCAGAAUUCAGUGAAUCAUCGAAUCUUUGAACGCACAUUGCGCUCUCUGGUAUUCCGGAGAGCAUGCUUGUUUGAGUAUCAGUAAACACAUCAACUCCUUUAUUGUAGUUGGACUUGAGCUAUCCCAACAGGACUUUUUGUUCCUGGCGGGAGGCUUGAAAUGCAGGUGCAGCUGGACUUUCUUCUGAGCUAUAAGCAUAUUUAUUUAAUCCCUUAACACGGAUUAUUACUUUUUUGCUGCAGCUAACAUAAAGGUUGAAUUUCCAUUGAGCUGACUGAUGCAGGAAUUUGGCAAGGAAUUUUUUUAAUGACUUGUUAAACUCGAUCUCAAAUCAAGUAAGACUACCCGCUGAACUUAAGCAUAUCAAUAAGCGGAGAA
rnacentral:misc_RNA from 1 species